UGCGUAGGCGGAAAAUUAAGUCAGUGGUGAAAUCCUGCAGCUUAACUGUAGAACUGUGAUUGAUACUGAUUUUCUUGAAUAUAGUUGAGGUAGGCGGAAUGUGUAAUGUAGCGGUGAAAUGCUUAGAUAUUACACAGAACACCGAUUGCGAAGGCAGCUUACUAAGCUAUUAUUGACGCUGAGGCACGAAAGCGUGGGGAGCGAACAGGAUUAGAUACCCUGGUAGUC
rnacentral:rRNA from 1 species